rnacentral:misc_RNA from 1 species
GACAUGCACUAAGACAAAUAUGGUUAUGGUCUUUGGUGAGAUUACCACUAAUGCUAAGGUGGAUUAUGAGAAGAUUGUUCGUGAUACCUGCAGAGGCAUUGGUUUUGUGUCGGCCGAUGUUGGCCUUAAUGCUGAUAAUUGCAAGGUCCUUGUCAACCUUGAGCAACAGAGCCCUGAUAUUGCUCAGGGCGUCCAUGGUCACCUUAGCAAGAAACCUGAGGAGAUUGGUGCUGGGGACCAGGGUCACAUGUUUGGGUAUGCCACGGAUGAGACCCCAGAAUUGAUGCCAUUGACCCAUGUGCUUGCCACCAAGCUUGGAGCUAGGCUCACUGAGGUGAGAAAGAACAAAACAUGCCCGUGGUUGAGGCCUGAUGGCAAGACUCAAGUGACUAUUGAGUACCGGGAUGAAGGUGGAGCUAUGGUUCCACUCAGGGUUCACACUGUCCUCAUUUCAACUCAGCAUGAUGAGACUGUCACCAAUGAGAAGAUUGCUAAAGACCUGAAGGAGCAUGUGAUUAAGCCAGUUAUUCCACUCCAAUAUCUUGAUGACAAGACAAUCUUCCACCUUAACCCUUCAGGUCGCUUUGUUAUUGGUGGCCCUCAUGGAGAUGCAGGGCUUACUGGUAGGAAGAUAAUCAUUGAUACUUAUGGUGGCUGGGGUGCCCAUGGAGGUGGUGCCUUCUCUGGAAAGGAUCCCACUAAGGUGGAUCGCAGUGGUGCAUAUAUUGUCAGGCANNNNNNNAAGAGUGUAGUGGCUUCAGGGCUUGCCCGACGCUGCAUUGUGCAAGUUUCUUAUGCAAUUGGUGUGCCUGAACCAUUAUCUGUGUUUGUGGACACUUACAAGACAGGGAAGAUCCCGGACAAAGAUAUACUGGUUUUAAUCAAGGACAAGUUUGAUUUCAGGCCAGGAAUGAUUGCUAUCAAUCUUGAUUUGAAGAGAGGCGGCAACUUCAGGUAUCAGAAGACUGCUGCCUAUGGACAUUUUGGC